GGUCUCGUAGCUCAGUUGGCUAGAGCACAUCACUUUUAAUGAUGGGGUCGACAGUUCAAGUCUGUCCGAGAUCACCA
rnacentral:tRNA from 1 species